GACAGAGGUGCCGAGCGUUAGGCGGAAUCACUGGGCUUAAAGCGUGUGUAGGCAGACCGUUAAGUACCUUGUGAAAUCCCACGGCUCAACUGUGGAACGGCUGGGCAUACUGGCGGUCUUGAGCCAUCUAGGGGCGACUGGAACAAACGGUGGAGCGGUGAAAUGCGUAGAUAUCGUUUGGAACGCCAAUGGUGAAAACAGCUCGCUGGGAAUGAUCUGACGCUGAGACGCGAAAGCCAGGGGAGCGAACGGG
rnacentral:rRNA from 1 species